GGCAGCAGAAUCCUGCUGUCAGCCGUGGAUUAUUUAUUUGUGUUAGUUUGCAGAAAUUAAGCCAAAGAAAGCGCACGGAAUGGAAAGAAAGGAGCCCAGCCCAAGAACCCCGACUGCCAGGGCUGACCUCCCUCUUCUAUCAGUAUUCCCUAUUAUCAAAAUCGCAAAUCGCACAUUCUGUCGAAGCCUGAGUUCGUCGGGUGUUCCCGCCUCUGUCGCCGCCCUCACUCCCUCACGGCCCGCCCGCCAUCAUCAGGCACCGCCCACUUCUGCCCCGGCAACGUCACUUCCUCUGAGAAGACAGGAACACACUCAUGCACUUCCGGACUGGCCCGCCCACAAAAUGGCGGCGCCCAUCUCGUGUAACGUCACUUCCUCUGAGAAGACAGGAAUCACACUCAUGCACUUCCGGACUGGCCCGCCCACAAAAUGGCGGCGCCCAUCUCGGGCAACGUCACUUCCUCUGAGAAGACAGGAACACACUCAUGCACUUCCGGACUGGCCCGCCCACAAAAUGGCGGCGCCCAUCUCGCCUCCAAAAUGGCGGCGCCCAUCUCGCCCUCAAAAUGGCGGCUCCCAAAAUGGCGGCGCCCAGCUUGCCCUUAUCAGCGUUGAGAGCCUGUAAGGAGGGCAACCCGAGAAAUAAAUGUGCUCAUUGGUGAAGGGCGCUCUUCCAAAUCGUCCCCCUCUUCCGAGUGUGAUAAUUGACAAAUGAUUCGCGUUAAUCAUUUAAAGUUUUGGAGUUUGUAUCAACCAGAACACCUAAAGUAAGAAAAGAACAUGGACCUCAAUAAAGGGAAAUAUCUGAUUAAACCCCCUGUUAUGAAUAUUGUNAACACGAGCCCACAGCGAGCAGGGGAGGGAAUCCAAAUGAGCCAAAGAUUUUUGCAAAAGUGUUUCAGCAUCCAGAGCUUUCUCUACGUGACAAUUGAUAAAAGAUUCGUGUUAAUCAUAAAAUUAUUUGGGUUUGUAUAAACCAGAAUAGCAAGGUCUGAAGUAAAGCAUGGACGCUUGAUGGAAAAAAAAAU
rnacentral:lncRNA from 12 species